rnacentral:lncRNA from 13 species
AUGAAGCUCAAACAUUUUGGAUCCCUCUCUCGCUCAUGCAUCUAUAACUCAAUAAAGCAAAUAAGCUCUGUUGAUAGUGUGCAAUUUAGUUGUUAUUCAGGCACCAGGUGCGGGAAGAAUGCAUUAAAAUGCAUGCUGACUGGUAGGAACAUAAUCAUGGAAGUUGUCCAAAAUUUGAAUAUAUUUGCACAAUGCAUUAAUUUCAUUCUUAAGUGUACUGCACAACAUCUCUCUUACAGAUCAGAGUGUGAUGCAAAAUCCUUUGGAGGAAAUGUGAAGAACCCUCUUGAUCCUGGACAAGUAUGGAUUGGUGUCUCUAUGUAAUAUGCACUGAGAGGAUUUCCCACACCGAUCCAAGAUGGAUUGCAGGAGAACUAGUGCGAAGAUGCAAGUAUUGUCUUCAUCAGCUGUUGUCAAGGUCAUUUUUGGUCUUCCUCCUAACCAGGUGAAAUUUCUACCCUCCUUAUAUACAGCCCAAUAUUAUCCUCCUACAGUUCUUUACAUAUAGCAUGAUCUAGACAGAGACUUAAGCAAUAAAGUCAUAUAUGUGGUAGCAUGUACUUCAUAAAGAUUAUUAGCAUAUGAUACAUUUUAAUAUUUAAAUAACCCUGAGUGAGGCAAAAGUUCAUUUUGGUCUGUAGCAUACUUCAAUUUUCUGGUCAUACAAUUUUUUUAGUUCUGCUCAGCUCUUCAGAGACAGAAAGAGGAGGACCAUUCUGUCUCCACCAGACCAGGUCCUCCAGCUACGUCAUGUUUUCUCCAUGUCAGUUAUGUGUAUCUCCACCUGCAAAGAUAACACAGUGGUACACAGGACAGGUUGCAGAUAGUAAGGCUUAGCCCUUUCCUGGGCCCUUGGUCUUCAUCCCACGUAGGGGUAUUUCAGCAGUACAAGUGAUUACACAUCAUAACCAACCUGAAAUGUUACACUUUGGCCUUCUCCCAACUCCACUGUAAGAGGCUGAACGUUCACAAACUAAGAGGCAUUUUAAAUGCACUCUGGCAGAAAAGCUGUUCGUAAUUACUGCCAUUUCUUAAGUUAACGGCAACAAUAUUCUGAUGGGAGGUGUUCUUUCAUCUGG